AAAAAAGAGAAAGUAAAGUGUGUUUUAACUAAACAAGGAAAUAUUAAAGAUCACACAGGCAGCAGGAAACAUUUUUCAUCCAGCAUCUGACUAGAAUCAUGGUUAUGCCUUAAGAAAUUAACUUAGCAACAGAGGAGAAGACAAGCUAUAUGUAGAAGAAGAUUAACGACAGGUUGAUACAAUCACCCAAACAAGAGCCAUGAUAAGACGUGUUUGCUUUCUCUUCACCUUCCACCAUGAUUGUAAGUUUCCUGAGGCCUCCCAGCCAUG